rnacentral:rRNA from 1 species
ACUGCGAGUGAAGCGGCAAAAGCUCAAAUUUGAAAUCUGGUACCAUUCGGUGCUCGAGUUGUAAUUUGGAGAGGCAACUUCGGAGAGGGCGCUGGCCUAAGUUCCUUGGAAAAGGACGUCAUAGAGGGUGAGAAUCCCGUGCUUGGCUGGCUGUCCCUCUUCAUGUGAAGUGUCUUCGACGAGUCGAGUUGUUUGGGAAUGCAGCUCAAAAUGGGUGGUAAACUCCAUCUAAGGCUAAAUAUUGGCGAGAGACCGAUAGCGCACAAGUAGAGUGAUCGAAAGAUGAAAAGCACUUUGAAAAGAGAGUUAAAAAGUACGUGAAAUUGUUGAAAGGGAAGCGCUUGAGACCAGACUCGGUGAUAGGUGAUCAGCGGUUGCUUUUGCUCCGUGCACUUGCCUUUUACCGGGCCAGCAUCAGUUACAGCGGUGGGAUAAAGACUUGGGGAAUGUGGCUCCCUUCGGGGAGUGUUAUAGCCCUGGGUGUAAUGCCACCUGUUGUGACUGAGGACCGCGCUUCGGCUAGGAUGCUGGCAUAAUGGUCUUCAGCGACCCGUCUUGAAACACGGACCAAGGAGUCUAACAUCUAUGCGAGUGUUCGGGUGUAAAACCCCUACGCGGAAUGAAAGUGAACGGAGGUGGGAACCUUUUAGGUGCACCAUCGACCGAUCCUGAUGUUUACGGAUGGAUUUGAGUAGGAGCAUAGCUGUUGGGACCCGAAAGAUGGUGAACUAUGCCUGAAUAGGGUGAAGCCAGAGGAAACUCUGGUGGAGGCUCGCAGCGGUUCUGACGUGCAAAUCGAUCGUCAAAUUUGGGUAUAGGGGCGAAAGACUAAUCGAACCAUCUAGUAGCUGGUUCCUGCCGAAGUUUCCCUCAGGAUAGCAGUAACGAUCUCAGUUUU